rnacentral:rRNA from 1 species
CCAAUAGCGUAUAUUAAAGUUGUUGCAGUUAAAAAGCUCGUAGUUGAAUUUCGGGGUUAGUAGGUUGGUCGUGCCACCGGUAUGUACUGGCUCUACUGAUCCCUCCUUCUUGUAGAACCGUAAUGCCAUUAACUUGGUGUUGCGGGGAAACAGGACUGUUACUUUGAAAAAAUUAGAGUGUUUAAAGCAGGCUAACGCUUGAAUACAUUAGCAUGGAAUAAUGAAAUAGGACGCUCGAUCCUAUUUUGUUGGUUUCUAGGAUUGACGUAAUGAUUAAUAGGGAUAGUUGGGGGCAUUAGUAUUCAAUUGUCAGAGGUGAAAUUCUUGGAUUUAUUGAAGACUAACUACUGCGAAAGCAUUUGCCAAGGAUGUUUUCAUUAAUCAAGAACGAAAGUUAGGGGAUCGAAGACGAUCAGAUACCGUCGUAGUCUUAACCAUAAACUAUGCCGACUAGGGAUCGGAUGAUGUUAAUUUUUUAAUGACUCAUUCGGCGCCUUACG